rnacentral:misc_RNA from 1 species
UACCUAGGUGGCAAGCGUUGUCCGGAAUUAUUGGGCGUAAAGCCCGCGCAGGUGGUUCCUUAAGUCUGAUGUGAAAGCCCACGGCUCAACCGCGUAGGGUCAUUGGAAACUGGGGAGCUUGAGUGCAGAAGAGGAAAGUGGAAUUCCACGUGUAGCGGUGAAAUGCGUAGAGAUGUGGAGGAACACCAGUGGCGAAGGCGACUUUCUGGUCUGUAACUGACACUGAGGCGCGAAAGCGUGGGGAGCGAACAGG